UACGUAGGGUGCAAGCGUUGUCCGGAAUUAUUGGGCGUAAAGAGCGCGCAGGCGGUCGAUCAAGUCGAGUGUGAAAGCCCCCCGGCUCAACUGGGGAGGGUCAUUCGAUACUGAUCGACUCGAAGGCAGGAGAGGGUAGUGGAAUUCCCGGUGUAGUGGUGAAAUGCGUAGAUAUCGGGAGGAACACCAGUGGCGAAGGCGACUACCUGGCCUGUUCUUGACGCUGAGGAGCGAAAGCUAGGGGAGCAAACGGG
rnacentral:rRNA from 1 species